AGUGAACGCUGGCGGUAGGCCUAACACAUGCAAGUCGAACGGCAGCACAGUAAGAGCUUGCUCUUACGGGUGGCGAGUGGCGGACGGGUGAGGAAUACAUCGGAAUCUACUUUUUCGUGGGGGAUAACGUAGGGAAACUUACGCUAAUACCGCAUACGACCUACGGGUGAAAGCAGGGGAUCUUCGGACCUUUCGCGAUUGAAUGAGCCGAUGUCGGAUUAGCUAGUUGGCGGGGUAAAGGCCCACCAAGGCGACGAUCCGUAGCUGGUCUGAGAGGAUGAUCAGCCACACUGGAACUGAGACACGGUCCAGACUACUACGGGAGGCAGCAGUGGGGAAUAUUGGACAAUGGGCGCAAGCCUGAUCCAGCCAUACCGCGUGGGUGAAGAAGGCCUUCGGGUUGUAAAGCCCUUUUGUUGGGAAAGAAAAGCAGCAGGUUAAUACCCCGCUGUUCUGACGGUACCCAAAGAAUAAGCACCGGCUAACUUCGUG
rnacentral:rRNA from 1 species